UACGUAGGGUGCAAGCGUUGUCCGGAAUUAUUGGGCGUAAAGAGCUCGUAGGCGGUUUGUCGCGUCUGCUGUGAAAACUCGGGGCUUAACCCCGGGCCUGCAGUGGGUACGGGCAGACUAGAGUGCGGUAGGGGAGACUGGAAUUCCUGGUGUAGCGGUGAAAUGCGCAGAUAUCAGGAGGAACACCGGUGGCGAAGGCGGGUCUCUGGGCAGUAACUGACGCUGAGGAACGAAAGCGUGGGUAGCAAACAGG
rnacentral:rRNA from 1 species